GACAGCCUCGGACAGGCACCUUUCCCGGCCCCCGUGCCUCCAGCAGCCUCGGGGAGCCCCCAGUGACCCUCCAGGGAAGGAAUCGCCAGCCCAUUAGCUGCCGGAAUGGUCCCCGGUGGGGAGGGUGGCCCACCUGAGGCUGGAGAGGGGACGGGAGAGGAAACAGGGCAGGCCUGGCAGACGCGUUCGAGGAGCUGCCCAGGUUGGAUUUAGAUGAACAGAGGACAUCACGGGUCGCCCCGUCUUCAGGCACUUGUCGAAGGCCUCUGUUAGCACUGGAGGAGAGGGUCUCGCCCUCCCCACCUGCCAACCCCCCCCCCUCGCCCUCACCCCCACAGCCUCCCCGCCGGCUUCCUUUCCUCUGUCCACCCGCCCAGUCCUGCCCCGAGUCCUUGCCAGGCUUCACGGUCCGCACCCAGGGGCCAGCCUCAGUGCUGGGAAGGCGGCUCGGCUCGGCCCCUCGGCUGGCAGGAGCGGGGGCGGGUGGUCCUGUGGUUCCAAGUUAGUCCGAAGCUCCUCGCUCCGAGUGCCAGGGUGAUGGACGGUGCUUAAUUCCACAGGGACUUCAGCGUGGAGCUCGGCCUGGGUGCAGGCACGCGGGUUUCUCUCCCGCAGGCCUGGGCCCUAACCGCCGUGCCAAGUGGCCGGUAACCGACUGCUCUGAGAAGCCACGGGUUAUGGCCUGCAGCCCUAGUUAAGGCCCUGCGAGCUGCAGCCCUACUUCUCAAAAAGUAAGUGGCCUCGAGGAGGAUUUACGGAGCGUCUUGGAAGGGUGGAAGCUGGCCACCACAGUCUGCGCUCGCACGCUCGGACCGCAGGACGGUCGUUUAUUUUCCCGCCGUAUGAAGGUGCUGGCUCUCUGAGCAGCCUGAGACAAGGAGCACGGAGCAGACCAGAGGAGACGGAGACGCGGACAGUCUGGGCCACGCCGUGCCACGUUCAACCAUCCGCACGUCAACGCUAGGCUAUUUGCCCGGACCCGUUCCUUUCCACAUCUGUGGAGGCUCUUUGAAGAAUCCGAUACAUACCCAACUGCCCUUCCUACGGUGAACAUAUCUGAGCCCGAACGAAAACGCUGCCUCGUGCAGAGCGGUUAGUUCAGCGCCGCCGGGAGAGGGCGCGGGCGACGCCACCGGGUGCCGCAGAGUCGACCGUGCCUGCACCGCGCACCGUGACCCGCUGGGAGACGGGAGCCCCUGUGUGGAGGCCGCGGGCUGGGCUCUGGGCUCCCUCGACCCCCGGUGGAGAGUGCGACCCGACCUACAUCGCGGGACCGUUUGCCUGCGGCUCGCUGCCACGCGGGUCAGAGUCCCCCCGAGUCGCGGACGGCGCUGUUUUACCCGUUUGGUGAGCUGAGUGUCCAUCAUGAAGUUGUGCACGUGCUUCUCCGCCUUGCGCCAGCCCCAGACCGGGGCCAGGGGAGAAGACCACGCCUACACCAGAGGGGGACCAGCUUCACUGCCCUGGAGACUUUCCCUGGAACCAUCCAACAAAGAGACAGCGCCGCCCCAGGCGGCACCCACCCCACGACUGUGCUCGGCCCGCACUGGGGUCCUUCUGCCCAGAGGCCCCGGCUGCGACGUGGCCCCGGGACUGGCCCUGUCUCCCUCCCACCCACGCUGUGGAGACACGGCAACACUCCUGCUCCGACCAGGCCUUCAGGGAACCCCCAGACGCCCUCAGUCCUUCCCGGACCAAUGUUCUCACUCUGCGGGGCGGACGGGGGUCCCAGAGCCCCCUCCUCGAGCCCUCGGCCGCGGAAGUGACAGUCUGGGGAAUGAGCACACCCUGGUGCCCUCCCUUGUCCUCCUGGUGAAUCUGAGUCCUGUGCAGUGUCUGUCCCAACCCACCUGCCAGCUCGGGGACAGGGAGGUUUAUCCUCUGCUCAUCCUUCUGCCCUGCCCUGCUCCAGCCCCGCCCUGCUCAUGCCCUACCCCAGCCUUGCCCCUGCCCCUGCCCCAGCCCCGCCCCUGUCCUGCCCCAGCCCUGCCCCUGCUCUAUCCCGCACAAUGGCCUCAUGGGAAGAGAGGAGCAGUCUGGCCCUCUAGAUGCCACACCAUUUGCCCCAAGCCCGGUUUAGCACUUCGAGGUGGCAGGACUGAAAGGCUCCAUCCUUGAUGUUUUCGGCUCAUCAGUCUAUCAGGAUGAGUUAGAAAUAGAAAUGAGCGCUUUAGAAGGCACGUAACCAGUACUGCAGCUGGGAGGGGUGUCCAUGGCGAGGCCCCUCCCCUCCGUGGGCAGCGAGGCCUGUGCGGGUCUUUGGCUGAAGGACCAGUGCGUUCCCUGGCUUUUCACAGUGUCCCCACUGGAUGGUCUCAUGUUUCUCGGUACCUUUGGAACCACCAUUUCCAGCACGACCAACUGGAAAGGCCUGGGUCUGUGAACCCUCCUUUCUGACCUCGUUUUCCUUUUGUUCAGGGAUGGCUGUGUGUUCUUGGCAUCUGUGACUUGCAGAAGACCGUGCCCACUUUUCAAAGGAUGUGUAUGGGCACUUGGGCAGCCUGGUCUAAUGCUGUAAUUGAUUUACCAAGCCUCCAAAAGCAAAAAAUAGCUUAAAAGAAGCUGUCCUGGGGGGAAGCUGUGCUCCACUCCCUUCAACCAGACCGCGUAUAAUCCCGCUCCUUUAUACGGGGUUCCAAACGUACUCUGGGCCGACAGUCCAAACACAGGGACUUAUCACAGCGUUCAAAACGGACAUUCGAUGGGGAGGGCUCUCCCUCGGCUCCGUUCUCCCUCACCUCCCGGGGUCAGCUCCGCUUCAAUCGCCCCUGAGAGCUGGGGGCAGAAGACGCCUGAGGAGGGGGUCCCCCGCUCAUCGUGUCGCUUUGGGGGUUUCAUCAAAACAGUCACUCCAGCACCAUCCUGGAUUUCAGGGUCCGAAAAGAGGGCCCCGGCUCUCGCCACGGCCCACAGCCUCACUGGUUAGAUGCAGGGGCUUCUAGUUAGAAGUUAGAGUGUUUUAACUAAUACACAACUAAGAUAAGUUUCUGCACGGAGACGGUAAGGUGGAUUGGAUUACAUUUUCAAUUUCUUUUCACUUAAAGAUGCCAAGACUUCCUUGUGGAUCUUUCUCUGGAGGAUGCCAGGUUCUUAACCUCUAAUUCUAACCUGAGUACAGAAGCAGAGAAUACUCUCAACUUUAUUUUUUUCUUUUGGAAAACCCAUCCUCUGGAUGUAAUCAGGGGAGUCGCGAAUCACGAAGCCUCGCUUGAUCAUUUCCAUGAAAAGACAACCUGGUAAAGAUGGGGUCAGACAUCAGCAGCCUCUGGAAAGUGGAGGGCUGAGUGCUGAAAUGCAGACUGCUGGUCCCCUGCGCAGUGUGUGUGAGAGAGAGAUGGAGAGACAGAGAGGAGGAGGG